rnacentral:rRNA from 1 species
AUUGAACGCUAGCGGGAUGCUUUACACAUGCAAGUCGAACGAGUGGCGGACGUGUGAGUAAUAUAUCGGAACGUGCCCAGUAGCGGGGGAUAACUACUCGAAAGAGUGGCUAAUACCGCAUACUUUUGGAGCGGCAGAUAUCGGAUUAGCUAGUUGGGGGGGUAAAGGCUCACCAAGGCAACGAUCCGUAGCUGGUUUGAGAGGACGACCAUCCAGAAUGGGACUGAGACACGGCCCAGACUCAUACGGGUAGCAGCAGUGGGGAAUGUUGGACAAUGGGGGCAACCCUGAUCAAGCCAUCCCGCGUGUAUGAGAAGGCCUUCGGGUUGUAAAGUACUUUUGGCAGAGAAGCGGUAUCUGCAGAAUAAGCACCGGCUAACUACGUGCCAGCAGCCGCGGUAAUUC